GGCGGCAGGAUUCGAAUACUUGAUCCCACUCAUCACCGCUAACAAGAAUGUUAACUGGAUCAAUUACAUCUACUAUAACCAGCAACGAUUUGUCAAUUAUACUAGAGAUGCGCUUCAGGGCUUGGCAAAACAAUUACAGACUACCUCCCAAAUGACAUUUCAGAAUCGAAUAGCCUUAGACAUGAUCCUAGCAGAAAAGGGGGUGUGUGUAAAAUACUCCCCGAUACUAUGACAUGCUGUACCUUUAUCCCAGACAAUACAGGCCCUAACGGUAAGGUAACCAUGGCUAUAGAGAAAUUAGAAAGUCUUUCUGAUGAAUUAAAGAGGAAUUCGGGAGUCUCCAAUUCAUGGGACAGAUGGUUUGGAUGGAUGAGUGGAUGGCAGAAAACUCUCCUUCAAGUAGGUAUGGCAGUUCUUACUGUGGUAAUUCUCAUUCUCUUCCGGAUUUGCUGUGUGAUGCCCUGUGUGCAGAAAUAUUUACAGAAGACUGUAGGUCAGACUAUUGACCGCACUACACCUACAUUCCUACAUCAGGAUAUCGACG